rnacentral:piRNA from 1 species
UCCCAGUAAGGAAGGAACUGCUAAUUGGUGU